GACGAACGCUGGCGGCGUGCUUAACACAUGCAAGUCGAACGGAAAGGCCCUGCUUUUGUGGGGUGCUCGAGUGGCGAACGGGUGAGUAACACGUGAGUAACCUGCCCUUGACUUUGGGAUAACUUCAGGAAACUGGGGCUAAUACCGGAUAGGGGCUCCUGCUGCAUGGUGGGGGUUGGAAAGUUUCGGCAGUUGGGGAUGGACUCGCGGCUUAUCAGCUUGUUGGUGGGGUAGUGGCUUACCAAGGCUUUGACGGGUAGCCGGCCUGAGAGGGUGACCGGCCACAUUGGGACUGAGAUACGGCCCAGACUCCUACGGGAGGCAGCAGUGGGGAAUAUUGCACAAUGGGCGGAAGCCUGAUGCAGCAACGCCGCGUGCGGGAUGACGGCCUUCGGGUUGUAAACCGCUUUCGCCUGUGACGAAGCGUGAGUGACGGUAAUGGGUAAAGAAGCACCGGCUAACUACGUG
rnacentral:rRNA from 1 species